rnacentral:rRNA from 1 species
UACAGAGGUCGCAAGCGUUGUUCGGAUUCAUUGGGCGUAAAGGGUGCGCAGGCGGCGCGGUAAGUCGGGUGUGAAAUCUCGGGGCUUAACUCCGAAACUGCAUUCGAUACUGCCGUGCUUGAGGACUGGAGAGGAGACUGGAAUUUACGGUGUAGCGGUGAAAUGCGUAGAUAUCGUAAGGAAGACCAGUGGCGAAGGCGGGUCUCUGGACAGUUCCUGACGCUGAGGCACGAAGGCCAGGGGAGCAAACGGG